rnacentral:rRNA from 1 species
GACGAACGCUGGCGGCGCGCUUAACACAUGCAAGUCGAACGGAAAGGCCUGCUUUCCCUUGUGGAUUGCGGGUACUCGAAUGGCGAACGGGUGAGUAACACGUGAGUGAUCUGCCCCCAACUUGGGUAUAAGCCUGGGAAACUGGGUCUAAUUCCCGAUAGGACUGCAGGGUGGUGCCUGUGGUGGAAAACGAUUUUCUAGUGGUUGGGGAUGAGCUCGCGGCCUAUCAGCUUGUUGGUGGGGUAAUGGCCUACCAAGGCGGCGACGGGUAGCCGGCCUGAGAGGGUGGACGGCCACAUUGGGACUGAGAUACGGCCCAGACUCCUACGGGAGGCAGCAGUGGGGAAUAUUGCACAAUGGGCGGAAGCCUGAUGCAGCGACGCCGCGUGGGGGAUGACGGCCUUCGGGUUGUAAACUCCUUUCGACCGCGAGGAAGCCACCUGGUUGGAAGGGUGGUGACGGUAGUGGUAGAAGAAGCACCGGCUAACUACGUG